UACGUAGGGCGCAAGCGUUGUCCGGAAUUAUUGGGCGUAAAGAGCUCGUAGGCGGUCUGUCGCGUCUGCUGUGAAAACCCGAGGCUCAGCCUCGGGCCUGCAGUGGGUACGGGCAGACUAGAGUGCGGUAGGGGAGACUGGAAUUCCUGGUGUAGCGGUGGAAUGCGCAGAUAUCAGGAGGAACACCGAUGGCGAAGGCAGGUCUCUGGGCCGCAACUGACGCUGAGGAGCGAAAGCAUGGGGAGCGAACAGG
rnacentral:rRNA from 1 species